ensembl:lncRNA
GGUGCAAGAAGGAGGGAGUUUUGCUGACACCUCUGUUGCCCACUUUCACGCUAAUUAACACUUCUCAGAUAUACUGGGUGAGGGUAGUCUACAUGACAGGCUCAAGAGGACAUUUGCACAGACCUUUUGUCUCUGAACAAUCUGUGCAGAUAAAGGUGCAUGCAAAACUUGCAACAAACGUGUGUGCGGGAGUAUAAUAUAUACACAUGCACAAAUACCUAACUGACAGGAACUAAUGCACACACAUGAAAUGGAUCUCCACCAAUGCCACCUCAUUAUCCCAUCCCUGCUGGUCGCCAUCUGCAGAAAGUCAUGCAGUAACUCUGUCCGAACCAGGAUAACACAGGACAUUCAUGCAACUGUCCGUUCUCCAUGAGAAUGCCUCAAUGCCACUCUGAACUGUAAUAUCAUGUCUUUUUGAUGCUUUCCUCCACACUGAAUUCAAAUGAAGCCCAUCACUCUAUGACAGUCGCUGUCAGUCCUGCUGAUGGAUGCAUGUAGCACAUUUCAACAUGAGAAUGUAUAAAACUAAUGCUUUGCUUGGCCUUCUUUUAUAAGCACUUAUUUUACCCUGGCGGAUGGUUGAUCACCAUAAAUCAGAAGCUCCAAGUAAACCUAUAUACACCUUUAAUUGCAGUUUUAGUACAUAUUUGCAAGUGUAACAUGCAUGCGCCAUUAUGCGAGGCUUCUAUGCAAGUGUUCUAUAUGUUUUUGUGCAUCUGUAUGGGGGAGAUAUACAAGGAGGUAAGCAUUAAGAGUCAUUUCUAGCACUCCUGCCUCGGCAGUGCCAAGAGGACGCGCAGAGAUGAAAGGUAAUGCAAAUGGAAGUGUCAUACAGCGAGUUCCAUUCCAGACAGCCACCUUUGAAAUAAUUAAGACAGUGGAAUGGAGUGGAGCCUGAGUGAGGAAUAGCAAUUCCUCUGAGUGACUCCUUCUUCUAAAGACAGCGAGCAAUAAGGCACACCACUGCUGUGCAAAUGUUAUGACAGCAUUUCCAUUUAAAUGUUUGUAAAAUUUGCCAAAGGGUAUUUUAAUGUUAAUUUGAUGAUUAUUUUAUAUUAAUAAUGACUUUUUACAAUUAUCGAGAUGGUUAUUAAAUGUAAUCACAUUCAACACAAUCUUAUUGAAACAUGUCAAAACGCGUUAAAUGUACAAGAAUCUGGCCUUCUUUUAAGCUUUAGCCAAGGGCCACAAUUCAGCGUAGAGCAAAUAAAUAAUUAUUCAAGCAGAAUUUUUUAAUCGCACACAGCUACAGAUGAAUACAAAGUGGGUGAAAUGCAGAGGAUUCCAUGCUGUGUUGGAAUAUGACACAUGUGUUGUGCCGGAUAAGUACAAGGCUUGCUACAAGCAAUUCGCAUAUGUAGCUGACAAUAGUGGGGCGGGUUUAUGCAUGCUAAUGGGUUUCUAGAAAUGCACAUUGCCAGCGACGCCAGCUAAUUUCAUAAUUGGCGAGCGUAGUUAUGCGAAUGCGGUGGUGCCUUAUUGGAACAUACGAGGUGGGCUUGUAAUCAACAGCGUGCCAGCGGACAUUUUAGGUCUAUCCUUUUUGCAUGCUCACCACUGCUAAAUUCUUUAAGAUGGUGGCACCUUGAAGGAAAUGCUACUGCGCUGACGGAGCCCAGCCCACCUCCUCCCUACCCAGAGUCUGCAAUGCGAUUCUAGGAAGAUUGUAGGGCACCCUUCACCUACCCCACCUGCAUGAUAAAUUUUUAAUUCCCACGUCACUAAUAAGGAUAUUAAGCAGAGAGUCUAGAGCUUCCGCAUAUAUGCAUGAGUCCGCAUGCAUUAAAUUUGCACAGAAUCGAGCGAUUCAAAUGUGAGUAUGCUAAUGUACAGCACUUCACUGUGCAACAUUACUGCCAUGUAUGACAAAUGCUGCCUUUGGAUAGUAACCCAUGCUUUUCGAGACACAAAUAAGAAUCUCUCCUCAGAUUUUCUAAUAAAUGAGGUGGCACAAUUACACUGAUUUCACCUGAACUGAUUAUUACGGUCAAAGUGCUAAUGGUUUUACAGAAAACAAACUCACUAUAUAGCGAUAUUUAAACUGCAUUAUUCACUCCUGAAAGAUUUCUGGUAACAUAUUUCAUAAUAGGUUCCUUCAAACAGAUCCUUAAAAUGCAAAAAUGUACUGUAAAGUAAAAAUGAUUGAAUGACUGAUAGAAUGUAGGGUUUAAAUUAUACUUUUUUUGUAAAUAAUAUUGUCAAGCUUCUCAUUGGCAUGACAUGCAUCAUUUGGCUCUUUCAUCUGAUUUGAGUUUUGAGGGGUAUUUGAGACACAGUUUUUGACUUAUUUAUAGCCCUGAGAAUUUGCAUAAUCUAAAUUCAGCAGACAACAGACAUGCUCAGUCAAACUGCUGUAGUUAACGCCACUAAUGCAUACCGUGUCACAGCACUGUUAUUGCUCAGAUUGCUUCUGGCUCAGAGUAAAAAUAAUAUUAUUCAAUCGUGUACCAUUUUAUAACUGUCAUUAUCUUGCAAUUACCAAUUACACUCAUUGCAACAAGACAUACUACAUGAUAUAUAAUUCAUAAUGAUAGAUAUUUGACAAAAUCAACAGUAGCAUUACACAAUAGAUUAAAUCAACAAUUCAGUCACUUAAAAGAAUACUCAUACUAAACUGAGUUUGAAGUUCAAGUCAAGAUUGAACAACUAAAUGCAAGAUUGAAUUGUGGCAUUUUAACCAUUACAAUUUGUGAGAAUUUACUAUGUUACAAAGGGUUAAAUAUCAUUUUUGCAAUCACUGUACUGCUUCUAAAUCUUGACACUGAGGUUAAUUUGCUCCAUGAAUCAUGCUGCGGGGUUGUUCUAUUUGAACUUGCAUUUUGGCACUAGACCUGUCUGCUUCUCUGAGGUGUCAAAGAACUGUGCAUUGACUCUGAUAAAUCAAGAUUUAAGUGUGAGUUACCAGAUUGUUGCUGAAACACUGAUAUACUUAAUUGCACACCCAAACCAUGACACAUCUGGAUGCAAACAUUUACACACACAUUCGAGAGGCUUCUUAAUACCAUCACAGAUUCACACACACAAGCACAUACAAGCAUAGAGAAUCUUCCUCUUACUAAUACACACAAACACACACAUAUAUGGAACCUGUUCUGCUUUUGCACAUUGCCAUCAUGCGCAUGUGAGAUCACCCCUUGUUGCCACAGCGACUCCAACCAGCGGGGACAACACUGUACAUGUGACCUGGUCGAGAAGGGGCUGGUCUACAGGAUGCUCUGUGCCAACAUGCAUCUGCUUGUUUAACAUCUCAGCACAUUUUAUGCCACUUUAUUCCAUUAGUUUGUAGGAAGUAAACUUACACAUGCACAUAAGGUUAUUGAAUCUAGAAAUGCUUCAUAAGAAAUCAGUGGGAGAUAAACGAAAAAGAGAAAAGCUACUGCACUUAUCCCAUAACAACACUGUAAAAAGUAUCAAUAUGCUGCAAAUGAUUUACUAAAUGUCACUUUAUGUACCAAACAAAAAUUUAAUUUGUAGGACAUACAACCUGAAAGUAAACCUGAAUGUUGUCUUAAAAUUGUGUGACUUCUCUUAUCUGCGCCCAGGGACUAAAAGCUUAACCGUAAGCUUUCUCAUCAUAAAAUGAGAUAUAUAAAUACAUAGAAAACUGGAUAAACAGAUCUAACACGUACAGAAGACUGCCUAUUUGAAUUCAGUGAUGGAACCACUAACUAAAAAAACUUUUAAAACUCUCUGUAACCUCAUGUUAUUAAAAAAAUCAAAUCCAAUUUUUUCUUACCAAUUUGUCCCACUGUCUUUGCAUAUGACUAGUUAUGCUAUUUACAUAUGCAUCUACAAUUAUUUUCUCUCCAAAUGUGUUUUCAUCAAAGUGAAGAAAGAGCACAGCUCAUGUUAACAAUUAACUAAGCAUAGAACUGAGGACACUCAGGAAGUUAAAAACUAAACUGUCUAAGCAUCCAAUGAUUAAAUAUAUUUAAAUUAGAGAAAAGGAAACUAUAUUCAAGAAAAUAAACAGAAAUGAGAAACAAUGUCAAUUCCCCAAAUGCUAACCAUUCGAUGCGAGGAGCACAGUAUUAAAGACAGCUGUGCAGAAGCGCUGUGAAGGGUUUGUGGCUGAGAACAGGCGGAGGAUGUGGAGUAGCCAAAAAUAUGAAGAUUGCUUGCCCAAUGAAUACAGAUAAGCUGCCAUGGUCGCCAUGGUUAUAGUAUUCAGCCAAUUACAAGACAGCAAUAUGUCUGAACUGUCUAAGACACACACAAUAGCAAACGGCUCAUUCAUAGAGCUGCAGGCAGCCAGCCUACUACAUAAAAAUUAAUAUUCAAAAGGAACCUUGUAGUUCACCUCAAUCUAGGUCCUAAAUCAUGUAAACAUGCUGAAUAUUUAGUUGAAGCUCAGAGUGAGUACACUUAUGUGUCUUUGCUCAUUUCUAUAAAAACCUCGAAAACAGAGAUUAUAUUUUAAAGUCAAGAUAUCAUUUAGCAGGUGUAAAUCCUCACACACACAAAAAUAAUAAUAACUAAAAUAUCAAAUAUGUAAUUUAUAUGUUAAAGUUAAAGCACUGGCUUAUAGUAUGCAGCGCUGUCUUCUCUAUAGUAUCACUGAUAUUCUUGAAAAAACAUGACCCAUUUUUAUCACUCAAAGCAUGUGGUAUCUCAGUAAUGACAGACAUGAUCUCAAAAUUGAUUUGCAAACAUUCAACAUCACAUUAAACCUUUCAACAGAACACGUUAAAUUGCAUUGCGGACAUUUUGAAUAGAUUGACUGUCAAGUCCUGGUGCAUAGCAAGCGCUGGAUAUGUACAACUAGAGGACAUGUGAAAUUGAAAGGAAUUAUGAAGGAAUUAUGAAUAAAUAAUAAUAAUCUAAAAUAAAAUAAAUAAAAAAACAGGAGAAAAUGUCAAAUUAAUUUAGCAUGACACAUAAGUAAAAAGCAUGUUUUUGUCUUUUCACAGUGGAUUCUGGUAAUUGCCUGACACUAUCAUGUUCUCUCUUAUAAUUAUUAUUAUUAAUAUUAUUAUUGGCAACACAUAAGGCCCUGCUAUUACAGGUAUUCACAGACAAGAGCCGGGGAUGAAAACUACUCUAGUUUGUCAGGCAUUUAAACAAAGCUUUUUUUUUUUUCUUCUUCUUCUUCAAUACAUCAUAAUUUUGAAAAAUAAAACUACAAAUACAAUUACCAAAACACUAACAGUAAAAUAUUUUAAUACAUUUAUUUGUUUUAUAAUGCUGUUGGCUAGAUAUUAAAAUAAUUCGUUUUAAAAUCUGUUUAAAGCUAUGGGAUAUUUCUUAUGCUAACAUUUUGAAUGAAAUUACCAUUGCACUAAGUAUUAAAUUUCUUGAUAAUGUUACUGAAACGAUGCUUUGUGGUUGAAGACAGAAUGUUUUAAGGCUUACUGAUUUAAUCAGUGUUAAGACUAUAAAAAAGUCUUCGACUAACUUGCCUUAUAGGCCUCUAAAAUAUAUUAGAAAAAAAAACUACACGCUGAAUAAAUUCACAAUAGCGUAGACCUAUGCCUAUUAAAAGUCUACUGCAAAGAAUAAAUACGGUAUAAUGAGAGGGCGUUAAGCCAUUUAAGCCAGACGAAAAAAAAAAAAAAUCUCACACUUGUCAAGUUCAAAUGCAAGCGCUUUGAGGACAAUAGUGGUGAUGUCAUGUUUCAACGCGGUCUAAUGCAGAGCUCCAGCAAAUCUAUGCUUCAAAACUUCAAGCUCAAUACGCCACUUCUUUUACAUAAACACGCCUUGUUAUUCCCACACUUACAAACAAUUCACCUCAGCAGCAGUAGUGUAUAUAGCUAUCAUGCCUGUGAGAUAUUCACAGCCGUUAGGCUACUGUUCCUGCUUUGGGGCCCAUCGUCUGCUGAUGCUGGGAACGGUCGCCACUUUCUAAAGGGAUGCAGAUGAGUCGGGUGCACUUGACAUCUUUUCAUGACCCAUGUCGCCCCCAGCCCCCCCAGCCCGCCGGCGCUGUCUGUCAUAUUCUGGAUAGGGCCGUGGCAUUGCCACUUGCCCUCGAGCGUGGGAAUGGGAGCGUCCACUCGUUCACAUCUACUGCGCUCCGUUUAACGGAAUCAAUUAAGGAGGACCGACCCCCUCGCUCCCCAUGUGCCCACCCCUUUUCAUUUUUGUCAGCUCUCUCUAUAUGUCCUAAUUAUUUCUGUUUGGGAUGCCAGCGCCGUUUCCUGGCCAAAGGCGACCGAGCUGAAUAAAUAGUGAGCACGUGGGUUCCUCUCUCUUCACGUGUCAGUUUUCAGUAAAUUGGUGAGAUCACACAAACUCGAGUCUAUUCAUUUAUUCUGUUGCGUAAAACAAUACUUACUCGAGGAAAAAGGAAGCUGACUUUUUUUGUUUGUUUGUUUGUUUGCUUGCGUUAACGUUUACAUUUUUUUUGCACACUAGCGUUAAGUAGAAAAUGCAUAGGGUACUUUUCAAAGCAGCAUAACACCAAAUGAAACCUAAACUAAUGAUAAUAAUAAUAAAUAAAUAUAAUAAUAAUAAAACCUAAAUUCUUGUCUGACGUUGUGUGCUAACAGCUCUCCAGAGGUACUGGUAUAUAAUAUAAUACAAUUUAUUUUUGUAUCUUCGUGUCAUUAGGCAUUCAGAGUUUUCGAUGAGCCGGGAGGCAGUUUUUACUUUCGGUUAUCUAGCUUUAUGAAGUGCAACAUACUCAUACAGCUAGAUAACCAAAGAUAACAACUCGCUUCCAAUUCCACGACAGUAGCCUAAUCCCCGGAUCCCUCAGUGUCUUGUGUAAGAUUAAAUCCAAGUGAAGAACUUGCUAAAACAAGAUAACAUAGACACGGGACUUCACAAUUGUCAUUUGUAGUUCUUAAAAGUAGGUAUGCUCGCAACAAAAAUAAAUGACAGUUUCUUCACAGGGUAAUGAGAAUCAAAACGGAAGCUAUAAUCCAUUUGACAUCGGAGCAGUUAAUGUUAAAACAAUAUGAGAGUUGGAGUAAGGGAGCCUGUCGAAUAAGAAGCAGUCAUCCUCGCAUAGGCCAUCAUUUGCAUUGCAAAUUACCUCCCAAUCUCACAAAAGGCUCCUUUGGCUCUAUUAAAUCGUGGCAGCAGCGAUAGAUAUCCCACGGAACCAGCAGCGAGAUUAUACAAAGGAAAAAUCCGAUUCCAGAGGAAAAAAGUGCACACGGAAAUAACAUCGCGUUUGUUUCGGCACUGAAUGGAGAGAUCUCUCUUUUAUUUUUGGCCGAGGGGUGGCAGGUUGUCCGUGCACGGAGGAGAUCGGCAAUGCCACAGAUCCCUGAGAGCUGCUAUGAGAGAGACGAGAGGAGGAUUGUGUUGCUGCUGCCAGCGGUCUGAGAGAGGGAACAGGGCCACAUCUCGAGGAGUGGGGGGGUGGAGGGGGUAAGCGGGGGGACGGGCUUCCAAUACCAAAAUAUGGACCAGCUAGAGAAGGUCAAAGGUCUCGGACCACGGGAGUGCAAGGUGAUGAUGAUGAUGAUGAUGAUGAUGAUGAUGUCAUUAGAAAUCUCCAGAGUGCGUUUGCAUCCCUCGUGCAGGCUGAAGAGGCGAUCCUUUUUGCUGUUCGCAUAACGUAGCCUAUUUUCAACGACAAGAAUACUUGAUGGAAAUAUUUGAGAGGCAAUGCCAAUCACCCUCGCUCACGAGGAUUUUAAAUUUCAGUGCGUCUGAAUACAUGGAAAAUGUUCGCCGGCGACAAGACUCUUGCGAUCGUUCCCUGCAUUGACAGUCAACACGCAAAGUUGAAAAACAUAUUCAAUAAAAUGAUCUAAAUCACUGAUCUUAUACAAUGUGUCUUCAAUUCAUUUCCACACAUUCUCAUUAACUGAAUAGAUUAUCUGAAACACAUCACAAUGGAUGUCAGCACACAAGGCGUUCUGUAGGCCUGUACAGUAACUACAUGAACAAAUAACUGAACUCUUGCCUUACAGGUCUCUAAUUCUGGCCACAUCCAAGGUCGAAAGACAGCCAUCAUUUGUAUUUCAUCUGAUAUGAUGUUCAAUUCUGACUAAAUUGGUUUAGGUGAAUCAUCUUUCACUCAUUGGCCCAGUGGCCCUUGCUGCAAAAGUUCAUUUCUAUUAAGACAAUAAAUAGCUUUAAGUUGGAAAACUUAUCCCUCCUUCAGACCCUCUAGAGCAUAGCCAAACACAAACAACAAACACAGAGCACUGCUAAAAUCUAUAAGAGUGAAUAAAACAUUUGACUCACAUGCUCAAAUAAAGCUAGUCUAAGCAUUAUCACAUAUUGUGUAUAAAGACAAAAAUCUAGCCUACAUUAUGUAAAAGUUGCUUGUCUUUCCUGAAACACCACCUCCACCAAAAAACAGUGUUUCUUUUGUCUAGAAUCAUAAAGAGGUUUGAUCAACAUUACAGUGUUUAAAUUAGAAGCAAUGCAUCUCAUAUAAAUUUGUGUGAUAGAAGAUAAAUGGUGUGGCUGAUGUAUGACCUGCAGUCUAAGCAGCACAAUAUCAAGAGCUAACAGGUUUUCUGUUCCAAACGCUAAAUUUAAUUCUCUUGCGCAAAAUGACAAGUAGUGAGACUUUGUCACCUGCUACUUGCAGCAUCACUGCACGAGACUUUGGCCUUGAGACAAGUGUUUGUGUUAGAUCAUUUCAAAGUAUGUUAACAUCUAUGACGUUAUAAUAUCUAAAAAAAAAUAAACUCAAAUACAUAAUUUUUCGUCAUGUGAAAUUUCUUUCGUCAAAGUAUGUAAUGCAACUAAUAGCAUUAUUAUUUUUAAUGGCCACAAAAAAAGAAAGAAAGAAAGAAAGAAAGAAAGAAAGAAAGAAAGAAAGAAAGAAAGAAAGAAAGAACGAAAGAAAGAAAGAAAGAGAAUUGUUUCCAGAUGUACUCACUUGAGCAAAGGUUUUUUUUUUUGUUGUUUUUUUUUAUUAUUAUGCCGAAGUCGACGUGACCAGAUGCAACUCCUGCUGUUGGUAAGAAACCGGCGUGCACAGAGCGCUUUCGAUUUAAAAUUGCCGCUAAUACUCAGUUCAUUACGCGUGUCUCAGCGGCUCUGAUUCUCACAAGAGCACAGUCCAAGCGCACGAGAACGACAGCUACCGUAUAAGCGAGAGCCAGUGAGAGGGGGGGAGAGAGAGAGAGGAGGGGUUGAGAAGUUUCCCAUAACCUAUUUGUCUGCAGCACCAAAUAGAAAAGUGCACUGUUGAGCAGAGAAGGUCGGCAUGUUUUCCCCCCCUUUCUUUCCUUUUCUUUCUUUCUUUUUUUUUCAUGAAGGGUGUUCGGGAGGGGGCAGUCCUCUCUGUGAAAGAAAGGACGUGCUCUGAAAUUCAAACAAGUUCGCCAGGUCUUUUGUUGGACUUGAACUGAGGAGGCAUUGUUCCUCUAUUGGCGUGGACUAGCCCCAAGUUCCCAGACCAGGUUACGGACUGACUGCGGUAAUGAAUUUGCUCCGAGCGCUUCUGCCCAACACGUUUUGACUGACGGAACGCAAUGGUCAUCUGACACUGAGAGGACAUCAUUAGUUCGGAGAAAACUUGCACAGUUAUACAUAAUAGCAAGAAAGAAAGAAAUAAAUUAAAUUUACAAUUUAAACCCACUAUAACCC